GGCUGUUCUUCCACGCUCAUGUUCUUCCUUGGUUGCCUGUACAGUAGAACAUCAGGCGCUGUUCUUGGCACAGAACUGAAAAUUCACAUACCAUUCUCCAUUGAUAUAGGGUGUCAUUUCUUCAGAUCAGAUGUGAUCUCCCAGUGGGAGCAAAGAGGGGAGCUGUGGAGGGAAGAAAGAGGACCUCCCCAAGGCUGGAGUCCAGGUGAGCUGCAGACAUGCGCUCAGUGUGAGAAGGCUAGUGAGUAAGCAGGGUCUUAUUGAUGUCAGUGCAGAUUUCCUUGAGUGAACGACAGCUUCAGAAACUGUGAGUGGCCAAUGAGACAACAUUCCUCAGACUGUGUCAUUAUUUCUUCCAUAUCAGUUUCUCUUCAUGUACCUGUACUUACAUUUCACCUCAGGCAAGCAAAUGUUCCUGUCCUCGUUGGAGGUAAAAUUUCACAUUGUGGUCUUUGUCAUGAUUUCUUUUAGGAUUUCCACUCUUGAUAUUCUCUGCAACAGCCCAUCAUUAUUUUAUUUUUCUUUAACUUAAACAUUGAGUUUUGUUCUAAUUGAUAUUAUUCUAAAAUGUAUGUCUGUUCACCAGUAUUUUCCUCAAUUUCACAUCAUUUGGUCACGUGUGCUUACCUGGUCUCGUGAGCUUUUCAACACUUUAAUUUCCUACUCAAGGUAUUUCUUAGGUUUAUUUCUUUUUUUCCUCAAUUGUUUUAGGCAUGAAAAACAGCCAUAACAAGCAAGAAAUAAUACCUAUGCAAGAUAUCUGCAUGAACGACCCACCUAACUGCUGGACAGUACAGAAAUGUCACACGGGAGAAGACCUCUCCGUAUAUAGUGGGUUUGAUGAAGUUUUUACUCACACGUACACAUUGACUCAACAUGUCUUAACUCACACUGUACGGAAACCCUAUAAAUGUAAUGAAUGUGGAAAACACUUCACCCGAAAUGCCAACCUUCGUACUCAUAAAAUAACCCACACAGGAGAGAAUCCAUUUGCUUGUAAUCAGUGUGGGAGGCGCUUCAGGUAUUUUUCAUCUUUAACUAGACAUAAGCGAAUUCAUACUGGAGAGAAGCCUUACGAAUGUCGUCUAUGUGGCAAAGCCUUUGUUCGAAGUUCCAUUAAACGGCAUGAGAGAACUCACACUGGAGAGAAACCAUUUAAAUGUCAUCUAUGUGGAAAAGGCUUCGUUACUAGGUCUAAUCUUCGAGAACAUGAGAGAACUCACACCGGAGAAAAACCAUAUACAUGUCAUCAGUGUGGAAAAGCCUUUGUUACAAGCUCUAAUCUUCGAGAACAUGAGAG